rnacentral:tRNA from 1 species
CAAAAAUUGGCAAAAAAUGUCAAAAAAUUGGCAUUUUUGUGAUUUUUUUUGC